UACAGAGGUGGCAAGCGUUGUUCGGAAUUACUGGGCGUAAAGGGCGCGUAGGCGGUUCUGUAAGUCCCGCGUGAAAUCCCCCGGCUCAACUGGGGAACUGCGCGGGAAACUGUGGGGCUAGAGUUCAGGAGAGGGAAGCGGAAUUCCGGGUGUAGCGGUGAAAUGCGUAGAUAUCGGGAGGAACACCAGUGGCGAAGGCGGCUUCCUGGCCUGUUCUUGACGCUGAGGCGCGAAAGCUAGGGGAGCAAACGGG
rnacentral:rRNA from 1 species